AUUGAACGCUGGCGGCAUGCUUUACACAUGCAAGUCGAACGGUAACAGGCCGCAAGGUGCUGACGAGUGGCGAACGGGUGAGUAAUGCAUCGGAACGUGCCCAGUCGUGGGGGAUAACGCAGCGAAAGCUGUGCUAAUACCGCAUACGAUCUAUGGAUGAGAGCGGGGGACCGUAAGGCCUCGCGCGAUUGGAGCGGCCGAUGUCAGAUUAGGUAGUUGGUGGGGUAAAGGCCCACCAAGCCAACGAUCUGUAGCUGGUCUGAGAGGACGACCAGCCACACUGGGACUGAGACACGGCCCAGACUCCUACGGGAGGCAGCAGUGGGGAAUUUUGGACAAUGGGCGCAAGCCUGAUCCAGCAAUGCCGCGUGCAGGAAGAAGGCCUUCGGGUUGUAAACUGCUUUUGUACGGAACGAAACGGUCUGGGUUAAUACCUCGGGCUAAUGACGGUACCGUAAGAAUAAGCACCGGCUAACUACGUGCCAGCAGCCGCAGUAAAAC
rnacentral:rRNA from 1 species